rnacentral:sRNA from 1 species
AGGGCUGUGGACUACCCCUCCCGUGAGGUAGUGCGCAACUCCACCCUGUUCGCGGCGUCUUCGAACGCGCCGCGGCAGCCAUGUUGGACGUGGCCAGCACAGGGGCCGGCACCACGGGGUUAUCGAAGCAGCUGUCAAGAUGCUAGGGUCCCUGGUGUUGAGGAGAAAAGCACCGGCGCCACGGCUACUCCUCCGGCUGCUCAGGUCCCCAACGCUCCGGGGCCAUGGAGAUGCAGCCCUGUUGGAAGCUGCCCGUGCCAACAAUACACAAGAAGUCAGCAGGCUGUUGUCAGAAGGUGCAGAUGUCAAUGCAAAGCACAGACUUGGCUGGACAGCACUCAUGGUGGCAGCCAUCAACCGAAACAACAGUGUGGUACAGGUCCUGCUUGCUGCUGGGGCAGAUCCAAACCUUGGAGAUGAUUUCAGCAGUGUUUACAAGACUGCCAAGGAACAGGGAAUCCAUUCUUUGGAAGAUGGGGGACAGGACGGUGCAAGCCGGCACAUCACAAACCAGUGGACAAGUGCCCUGGAGUUCAGGAGAUGGCUAGGACUCCCCGCUGGCGUCCUGAUCACCCGAGAGGAUGACUUCAACAACAGGCUGAACAACCGCGCCAGUUUCAAGGGCUGCACGGCCUUGCACUAUGCUGUUCUUGCUGAUGACUACCGCACUGUCAAGGAGCUGCUUGAUGGAGGUUCCUCCAGAGAAUUGAGCCCUCAUUCUCCAAGGCAUCCAUUGUACACAGGAAUUAACUUCUCUCCCAGGAAUCUAAAAUGGUACUAGCUAUAUAUAUAUAUAC